rnacentral:rRNA from 1 species
UACAGAGGUGGCAAGCGUUGUUCGGAAUUACUGGGCGUAAAGGGCGCGUAGGCGGUCUUCUAAGUCUUGUGUGAAAUCCCUCGGCUCAACUGAGGAACUGCACGGGAUACUGGAAGACUUGAGUUCGGGAGAGGGAAGCGGAAUUCCGGGUGUAGCGGUGAAAUGCGUAGAUAUCCGGAGGAACACCGGUGGCGAAGGCGGCUUCCUGGACCGAUUACUGACGCUGAGGCGCGAAAGCUAGGGGAGCAAACGGG